UACGUAGGGUGCAAGCGUUAAUCGGAAUUACUGGGCGUAAAGCGUGCGCAGGCGGUUUUAUAAGUCUGAUGUGAAAUCCCCGGGCUCAACCUGGGAACUGCAUUGGAGACUGUAAGGCUAGAGUGUGUCAGAGGGGGGUAGAAUUCCACGUGUAGCAGUGAAAUGCGUAGAUAUGUGGAGGAAUACCGAUGGCGAAGGCAGCCCCCUGGGAUAACACUGACGCUCAUGCACGAAAGCGUGGGGAGCAAACAGGAUUAGAUACCCCCGUAGUCC
rnacentral:rRNA from 1 species